CCAGCCAAUUUGUUGUUUUUAAAUAACCUUGUUUACAACUUUGUAAUAUUGAUAAAUUUUAUAAACAAUGAGAUGUAUGAGGCAAAAAGUGAAAGCACACACACACACACACACACACACACACACACACACACACGGACUCUGCCUGAAGCAACAGCACUGUGUAUUUUUCCAGAGCUUUUCUCUAUCUUUAUCUUUAUGAGCAUAUUUCUGGAACUUGCGUUUGGGGGUUGAAGUGCUUCCUCACAGGGAGUUAAGCACACCUAUAAAUAGCUGUGACGCAUCACGGACUGUGAAAAACACUGCAGCUGAGUCACCCGGUGUGUCGGGAACCUGCGUCAGGGAGAGUCAUGAGCAUGGGGUGGCUUCAGAGAUGGAGUGGGGCCUUAAUUAGGCCCGGAAGGAUGAGCUGGUGGAUAAGUUGGACAGGACAUUCCAGGCAGGCACUUGGUCUAGAGGUGGGCUGAUCAUUUCUAAAUGGCAGAACCCUGACAAACGUGAGACUGAGAGUCCACAGAGGGGCACGUGGGGCUGAGCUGAGAGGCCCCCAGGGCCAGCAUCCUGGCCCAUGCCUUAUGGAAGGCCAGACUAGAAGCCCUGGGCCAGCCCCAGGAAAUAGGAAGUUUCCAGGCCGUGGACCUCCUGUGCCCCUCAGGGUGGGGGCCAUGGAAGAGCUCCUCUUUGUUGCAGGGAGGGGAAGUCUGUACCCCAAAAAGGUCUUCCCAUAAUCCUGGAGCUGGGAGUGUGCUCGAUGCACCAAUGGCAAAUGGUGUGCAGCAAACGCGCUCCGUUCCUGGCACUCUUACCACUGUCAAGAGAGGGACCCCAGAACUCAGGAGGCAGCCACCAGCAAUCAGCAGGAGCUGGCAGGGGAGGCAGACGGGCCUCCGUCUCUCUCCCAUUUCUUAAAUUGGCAGAUGAAUGAUCUGCAGGGAAUGGUCUGUCCUGAGUCGCAAGUCCCAGACCUUGGGAGUCCUUCCAGGGGUGCACACUGCCCCCUAAGGAGCUGGUGCACGAGGUGCAAGCUGGGGCCCUGUGGGGAGGGCUCCAGAGUGAGGUAGGACCUUCAUCCCUUCAGCCUCUCCAAAUACAGACUGGCAACAGAGAGUUCCUGGCAAUGGUAGGCAGAGGCCCUGAGACAGCCAGCCCUGGCUCCAGGUCCGGCAGUGAGGAGGUGAAAGCAGGUCUGGAAUUAAGAUUUCCUGCCCGUCAGUCAGGUCCGGUCUGCCAUGGGGCUUUUUCUUUUCCCUUCAAGAACCCAAAGCCAGCCAGGUACGGUGGCUCAUGCCUGUAAUCCAGCACUUUGGGAGGCUGAGGUGGGUGGAUCACUUGGGGUCAGGAAUUUGAGACCAGCCUGGCCAACAUGGUGAAACCCUGUCUCUACUAAAAAUACAAAAAUUAGCCAAGUAUGGUGGCACACACUUGUAAUCCCAACUUCUCGGGAGGCUGAGGCAGGAGAAUCGCUUGAACUCAGGAGGCAGAGAUUGCAGUGAGCUGAGAUCGAGCCAGUGCAGUCCAGCCUGGGCAACAGAGUGAGACUCCGUCUUAAAAAAAAAAAAAACAAAAAGCAAAAAACACAAAAGAACCAAGUGAUCUGCAGGAACUGAAGAGGGAGGGAAGGGCAAUCAGAUUCUCUGCCCAGCUCGGCCCUAACUCAAAGGUGAGGACAGGCAUGACCUGGCCUUAUUUCCCAUGCUCUGUAACUGGAGGGCUUGUAGCCCACAGGCCGGUGUGUGGCUAACAGGGCCCUUCUUUUUUCCUGCAGUUUGCUCUGUCUCCUGUUGCGUGUGUGCCUCAUGUUUGCAUGGUGUCUCUGCUUUUAGUUCUUUUCUGUUCUCCUGUUGAGCCCUGCCGAACUCUUCCUGUGUUCCUGGAUCCUUCUGGCCCUGUAUCUUAUUGCGAGACAGUCACCCCCGGGCAGGAGUGGCCUGAGUUGGGCAUUUUCAAUCAGAGGGACUCUCCACAUCAGCCUGUGGUAGGGCCCAGGAACAUGUGCUCUUCCACUGAGGCUGCUGCCUGGUCACAGGAGCUGGACCUCUGCAGCCUGUGGACAUCUCUCGGGUGUCUGUGUCCUUGGCUCAGGAGGUGUCAAGCAAAAUGUCAGCUUAUUUGCCAGGCACAGUGGCUCACACCUUUAAUCUCAGCACUUUGGGAAGCAGAGGUGGGAGGAUCGAUCGUUUGAGUCCAGGAGUUAAGAGACCAGCCUAG
rnacentral:lncRNA from 10 species